rnacentral:rRNA from 1 species
GACGUAGGGUGCAAGCGUUGUCCGGAUUUACUGGGCGUAAAGAGCGCGUAGGCGGUCUUGUAAGUGUGAAGUGAAAUCUCCAGGGCUCAACCCGGAAACUGCUUUGCAUACUGCGAGACUAGAGGGAUGCAGAGGUUUGUGGAAUUCCUGGUGUAGCGGUGAAAUGCGUUGAUAUCGGGAGGAACACCCAUGGCGAAGGCAGCAAACUGGGCAUCAUCUGACGCUGAGGCGCGAAAGCGUGGGUAGCAAACAGG